GGAGCGGAAGUCGGCCGCCGGCGCGGUGGAGCGGGGUGUGAGGAGAAAAAGGGGGUGUUUGCAGCCUCGGCGCCUGUCAACAGGUGAGCGUUAACCAGGAGCUUCUCUGAGGGGCUCCUGGCCCCUUAGGCCCAGCGGCGGCGGAGUCCGUUGUGAACAUUGUGACUCACCCCUGAAGGUAGAUGGAGCAGCGAUACUGCGGCGCUGGGGCCCGGGACCUGGCGGUCAGCCCAGUUCGAAUCCCUCCCUCGCCUGCUCGUGGGCCGCUGGGAGUCGUGUCAGGUGCACACCGCUAGAGAAUAGAAAGGAGGGGAGAGACAUGAGAAAGACACAUUGGCUGCCUCCUGAACAUGCACCUUCCAGGGCCGGGGAUCGAGCCUGCAACUGAGGUUACAUGCUCUUGACCAGAAUUGGACCCGAGACCCUUCAGUCUGCAGCUCAACAGUCUUACCACUGAGCCAAACUGGGUAGGGCUACAUCAUCGUUUUUAAUUGUUACAUGGUAUUCUGUUUGUAUUAUUUAUUUAUUUAUUCUGUUUGUUUUGAUGUACAUCAUUUAUGUAACUAUUUUUAUACUGAAAUUUUAGAUUAUUCUUUAUGUUUCACUCUUAAAA